rnacentral:rRNA from 1 species
AACGAACGCUGGCGGCAUGCCUAACACAUGCAAGUCGAACGAGACCUUCGGGUCUAGUGGCGCACGGGUGCGUAACGCGUGGGAACCUGCCCUUAGGUUCGGAAUAACUCCCCGAAAGGGGUGCUAAUACCGGAUAAUGACUUCGGACCAAAGAUUUAUCGCCUUUGGAUGGGCCCGCGUUGGAUUAGCUAGUUGGUAGGGUAAAAGCCUACCAAGGCGACGAUCCAUAGCUGGUCUGAGAGGAUGAUCAGCCACACUGGGACUGAGACACGGCCCAGACUCCUACGGGAGGCAGCAGUGGGGAAUAUUGGACAAUGGGCGAAAGCCUGAUCCAGCAAUGCCGCGUGAGUGAUGAAGGCCGUAGGGUUGUAAAGCUCUUUUACCCGGGAGGAUAAUGACAGUACCGGGAGAAUAAGCUCCGGCUAACUCCGUG